AGCCGGCGGAGUCCCCGCAGAGCUGGCGGAGCGGCGGAAGGAGGCUUACGCCUGUCUGCAGACUCUGUGCACCCAUUCCUACUGGUUCGACAUCUGGAUCUUCUUACUGUUUGACCUGGUGCUGUUCAUCUUCAUCUAUCUGCUGCCCUGAAAUGCUGUAGAACAUUCCUG